AUUGAACGCUGGCGGCAGGCCUAACACAUGCAAGUCGAGCGGCUGAAGGGAGCUUGCUCCUGCAUUCAGCGGCGGACGGGCGAGUAAUGCCUAGGAACCUGCCUGGUUGUGGGGGAUAACGUCCGGAAACGGGCGCUCAUACCGCAUACGUCCUGAGGGCGUAAGUGUGGGAUCUUCGGACCUCACGCUAUCAGAUGAGCCUAGGUCGGAUUAGCUAGUUGGCGGGGUAAAGGCCUACCAAGGCGACGAUCCGUAACUGGUCUGAGAGGAUGAUCAGUCACACUGGAACUGAGACACGGUCCAGACUCCUACGGGAGGCAGCAGUGGGGAAUAUUGGACAAUGGGCGAAAGCCUGAUCCAGCCAUGCCGCGUGUGUGAAGAAGGUCUUCGGAUUGUAAAGCACUUUAAGUUGGGAGGAAGGGCAGUAAGUUAAUACCUUGCUGUUUUGACGUUACCAACAGAAUAAGCACCGGCUAACUUCGUG
rnacentral:rRNA from 1 species